CCCCCGCCCCCCUCCGAAUUAGCGGGUCACAUAAAUGUCGUUAUUCGCCCCCCUUUAAAGCUGACAAGAAAAGUUCCAGUGCUCUUUGACUGGUGUCUGCUGUAUUUUGCCCUGUUUUGUUUUUAAAGUGACACUUUACAAGAAUGCUGUUCUUCUCUAUUUGGGAAUAUAUUUAUCUCGGAUUAUACGAGCCAGUUUUAAAGACUACACAAUGCAAAUGACCUCACCGCCCUAGGAGCCAGGACUGAGAUGAAACUGUUGAGCUCCCAGAAUUUUUAAGGUUGGAUUUCAAAGGAAUAUUUUGAAAGCAGUUAUGGAAACGACAUUCCCUUAUAAACUCAGGGAAUACCAUUUUCCAGGCUAAUGUCUGAAAACUCCAUUACAAAGUGCCAAGAAAAUACAUUUUUUUCGCAUCAGAAUUCAUUCUGUUUUUUUUCUUUCCAUCGCGAAGUGUUGUGCUGCAGUUACAAACUAUCUCUUAUGAUUUACACAGUGCUGGCCAACAUCUGUCCUCAGGCAAUUUACUAAACUGAUGUUGAACUUAUGGUGGUCUCUGACUUAUUGUCUGAUUGUUACAGAUACUGCUAAAACGACUGAAAUUCCCCCAGUCUUCAUCUACAAAUCCAGAAUUGGGAUAGGCUGAGUGGGGAUUGGUUUUGGAGCGAAGCGGGCUGUAGUGGCUGUGAAUAGCACAUCUGUGCAGUCGAUUGGCAGGCCAGACUGCUAAUACAUUGUGUAAUGCUUGUGUACCAACCUUCUUUGCCUUUGCAGGGUUUCCAUUAUUUCUUUGCCCCCAGCUGUUUGUUCUAAGCUGCAAGGCUGAAUCACCAGAGUAUGUAAAAGGCCUUGGCAUCAACUUAAAACAACCCUCCGGAACAGGAGGAUCACUAAGGUGGCUGGUUUAAAGGUUUUGAGGGAGCAGAAGAAAAUGGUGGGAGAAUGGAAUGCCUUCUCUACCGAGGCUAAUAAAUGUACUACUACUCCCUUUCUUCGUCCUCUGCAGCCAGCACUAUCAACCUAAAUCCACAUUCAGGCAUCUCAGACCGUGGUCUGAUUUUCUAAGAGGCCGAAGAGCCACGGCUGCUAUUAGACUUCAGUGGGAAUGCUCAGCACGACUGAAAAUCAGGCCAGGAUUAUUUUUUGAAGUUAAACAUUUUGGAAGUCCUCUGGAUGCAGCAUUUGAAAGUUCAAGAAGGCAAAAGCUAUGACACCUCUACAGACAUUUACAGUUACUUACUAAUAUUGCAAUAGCUCAAGGAUCCAGAAGCCAAGGCCAAGUUCAUGCAGCGCAAGAGGAAAAGGAGACACCUAUUGGCAAAAAGUCGCAUUCAAACCUCAAGGCUGCUUUGGGGAAACACCAGGGGGACACCGCUUCCCAAUCACUGCAGCCACUGCCAGCAGCGGCCGGUCCUCUUCCUCCGCGACACGAGCUGCCCCGGGCACGGUCCCGGCCACACACUUCCACCCUCCUCCCCAAAAUGCAAAUCCCAAGCAGGAGCAAACAACGGGGCAUGCAAAAACCCUUCUGAAAACCCCAGGUCUUUACCUUCCUCUGCCGAUUUCAUGCUG